CCCUUUGUGAGCAUACCUAACCGUUGCUUCGGCGGGCAGGGGAAGCCUCUCGCGGGCCUCCCCUCCCGGCGCCGGCCCCCACCACGGGGACGGGGCGCCCGCCGGAGGAAACCAAACUCUAUUUACACGACGUCUCUUCUGAGUGGCACAAGCAAAUAAUUAAAACUUUUAACAACGGAUCUCUUGGUUCUGGCAUCGAUGAAGAACGCAGCGAAAUGCGAUAAGUAAUGUGAAUUGCAGAAUUCAGUGAAUCAUCGAAUCUUUGAACGCACAUUGCGCUCGCCAGCAUUCUGGCGAGCAUGCCUGUUCGAGCGUCAUUUCAACCCUCAAGCACCGCUUGGUUUUGGGGCCCCACGGCACACGUGGGCCCUUAAAGGUAGUGGCGGACCCUCCCGGAGCCUCCUUUGCGUAGUAACUAACGUCUCGCACUGGGAUUCGGAGGGACUCUUGCCGUAAAACCCCCAAAUUUUUUACAGGUUGACCUCGGAUCAGGUAGGAAUACCCGCUGAACUUAAGCAUAUC
rnacentral:rRNA from 1 species